GCUGCGUUAGUUUAUCACAAACACUGGCUUGUGAAGCCAAAAAUGGAACCACCCCUCCACACAGC
rnacentral:tRNA from 1 species